CGUAACUUAAAACAUCCACUUUAUUGUUUUUAAUCGUGCAGUUUCCGGUCGUCCACAGAGGGCGCUGUUGGCACAGCAACGACCAGUAGCCCCGUGACCGCGGUGCAUCAUGGGAUACAAAAUGUCUCCCAGUAUUGUUAGCAAAUGCUAACUUAUCCGAGUUUACCGCGACUAUAAUCAGAUAUUUACAGUUGAAAUACAUUUGUUAUAUUCCUAAUUUCACAACAAGGCAAUGUCUACAAAGGCAGAAUGCAGAGUGUCCAGUUCCAGGUCCAGAACAGAAGAGAGGAGGAGAUCAAGGAGUAAAGAAAAAGAGAAAAGAAAGCGAAAGCGAAGCCGCAGCAGAUCUUCAUCUUCCUCAUCGUCUAGCUCGUCCUCGUCGUCUUCCUCGUCAUCAUCGUCUCUAUCAUCAUCCUCAAGCUCAUCAGGCUCUUCCAGCCGAAGUAGUUCCAGCAGUAGCGACUCUCACAGUAAAUCCAGAAAGCAUUCUAAGAAACGACAAAAGGAGAAACGGAAAAAAAAGGGGAAGAAAAUGAAGCGGCAGAAACAUAAAAAAGAGAAGAAAGGAAAAGGAGGUGAAGAAAACUCUGGACCUGUACAGAUCUCAAAGUACUUGAAGGACAGAAAGAAAGGCAAAUACAGCAUGAUAUCAGGCAAGAAGAUAAAAAUGAAAGUAAAGAAGUCAAAGAAGGAUAAGCAGAGGGACAAAAAUCGAGCCGAGCUUCUCGACUUUUUGAACUCCACGGUGUGAUGACGAGCGAUGACUGAGCAGAAACACAACAGAAUCAGAAAAGGAGAAAACCAGCCCCAGGAGAACAAACGAUGAAGAGCUGGACACGUCACGUAGUUCUUGGUCAGAAAGUCACCAAACCAAAAUCUGUGUUUUUCCUUUAUGUGUGGCAGCCUUUUUGUGUCAACACUUCUGUAGAAAUAUGAAGAGAAUAAGUUUGAUGAAUCCCCAAAUUUUGUGGACUUCUCUCCCAGAUCAGACACAAUGUUCAUCGGAUUUAUUUUUAUUCACGUAUUCUCACCAACAAACUAAACAAAUGAGAAAUGUUCAUUGUAUUCACCAAUGUCUCUCUAAUCAACCAUGUAAAAUAUAAUAAUCUGUAAAUGUCUUAAAAGAUUUUUUUUUUGGUUUUUUUUUUGUCUCAAAUCAUUUCAUUUUUUCUGCUUGUAUGAUGUUUUAAAAGACCUUACAUUGAGUUAUUCAGUGAUUUCUGUGUAAAUAUUCUCAUUUCUUGAAGAGUUGUGGUGAAAUUGUUGUCCUUGGACUAAAAAGACGUUUGCAAAGCAAGAUAAACAUUUUUUCCCCUUUUUGAAAAAAAAAAAAAAAAAAAAAGCAAGAAGAAACGCAGCACUUUAAAUUCACUCAAGUGCAGGUUUAUUGCUGGAUCUCCUCAGAACUCAGAGUAGUGCUUGGAUUGGAGACCACAGAGAAUACCAGGUGCAACAGUGGGGAGGGGGGCAGUCGCUCUAAUGCAGGGUUUUUCCACCUUGGGGUUGAGAUCCCAUGUGGGGUCAAGUAAUUAGUAAGAAAAUGUCAAAAGAACUGCUUAAAAUUAUAUUUUAAAUAUUUUUGAAUUAUUCUUUUUCAAAAUAACACAUCACACAAAACACCACACACAAUCUUGUAAUACUCUAAAUUUCUCAAAUAUAAAUUUAGUUCGAAUAAAUUGCAGUAGAAAAACA
rnacentral:lncRNA from 1 species